AUUGAACGCUGGCGGCAUGCCUAACACAUGCAAGUCGAGCGGAGCGGCGGACGGGUGAGUAAUGCCUAGGAACCUGCCUGGUAGUGGGGGAUAACGUCCGGAAACGGGCGCUAAUACCGCAUACUAUCAGAUGAGCCUAGGUCGGAUUAGCUAGUGGGUGGGGUAAAGGCCUACCAAGGCGACGAUCCGUAGCUGGUCUGAGAGGAUGAUCAGCCACACUGGAACUGAGACACGGCCCAGACUCCUACGGGAGGCAGCAGUGGGGAAUAUUGGACAAUGGGGGAAAGCCUGAUCCAGCCAUGCCGCGUGUGUGAAGAAGGCCUUCGGAUUGUAAAGCACUUUAAGUUGGGAGGCGGUACCAGCAGAAUAAGCACCGGCUAACUUCGUGCCAGCAGCCGCGGUAAUAC
rnacentral:rRNA from 1 species